AUUGAACGCUGGCGGCAUGCCUUACACAUGCAAGUCGAACGGCAGCACGGGAGCAAUCCUGGUGGCGAGUGGCGAGCGGGUGAGUAAAGUAUCGGAACGUGCCCAGUCGUGGGGGAUAACGUAGCGAAAGUUACGCUAAUACCGCAUACGAUCUAUGGAUGAAAGCGGGGGAUCGCAAGACCUCGCGCGAUUGGAGCGGCCGAUAUCAGAUUAGGUAGUUGGUGGGGUAAAGGCUCACCAAGCCGACGAUCUGUAGCUGGUCUGAGAGGACGACCAGCCAACCUGGGACUGAGCCACGGCCCAGACUCCUACGGGAGGCAGCAGUGGGGAAUUUUGGACAAUGGGCGCAAGCCUGAUCCAGCCAUGCCGCGUGCAGGAUGAAGGCCUUCGGGUUGUAAACUGCUUUUGUACGGAACGAAAAGGUUUGACUUAAUACGUUGGACUCAUGACGGUACCGUAAGAAUAAGCACCGGCUAACUACGUGCCAGCCGCCGCCGUAAUAC
rnacentral:rRNA from 1 species